AAGGAAGGGAGAGGCUGUACUUGGCAAGGUCAGGCUACUCCCCAGUGCAGAGGGCGAUGCCUGUCCCCGCAGACUCCCGGUCACUCCUGCCCCCUUUCCUGUGGUUCCCUGUGGUCUCCAUUCACCGUGCAGGGGGACAGGUCUGAGUGUGGUGGCCACUCCGAGUGCAUUUUCAACAUCCGGGAUCCUCUGUGUGGGGCGAAGCGGCUAGACACGGAGGGACCAGCCCAACUCGUGCCUGCCACACCGCACGUGCUCAGAGCGAGAGGGACAGCAGAGGUUCCCAUGGGAACGCAGAGGCGGGCGGAAAAUGAUGGGCUCGCAGGCCAGGAGGUGGCGUAGUGGAUAGAGCAUUGGACUCUCAAGCAUGAGGUCCUGAGUUCAACCCCCAGCGUCCCAUGUGCUAUAUUCUCUCUCAUAAAUAAGUAAAUCGAAAAAGGAGGAAGACAAACUAGGGCUGAAGAGGCAGAAUAAUGGUUAUGCAAACAACUAUCAUCUUUAAAUAUCUGAAGCUCUAAGGUUCCAGGUUCAAUCCCCAGCACCACCAUAGCCAGAAUUGAGUAGUGCUUGGUUGACAGGAUUUUUUUUUUUUUUUUUUUUACCAGAGCACUGCUCAGCUCUGGCUUAUGGCAGUGUAGGGGAUUGGACCUGGAACUUGAGGGCCUCAGGCAUGAAAGUCUCUUUGCAUAACCAUUAUGCUAUACUCCCACCCGAUAAAUAUAUAUAUAUUUAAAAUGACAAUCUUUACUUUUUGGUGUCCGGGAUCAAACCCAGGUCCCCUGACAGGAGAGGCUUGUGCUCCACUCCCGCCCUCCAGAGCCUUCCAUAGCCUAGCCAUGCAGCUCGGGAGGGGGAGCCCAGCCCGAGGACGUGCACGGCCAGGCAGGAGGCUGCUGGAAAGUCAGGAGGGCCGGAGAGGACCCCGGCCAGUGCCCGCCCGCCCGGGCUUCCAGCUUUCGUCCUGUCUGCUCCCCCUCCCCAGAGUCCUACUCAGCUCUGGCCGAUGGUGGUGUCAGGGACUGAACCUGGGACCUUGGGGGCCCCAGGCAUGAGUCUUUUCGCCUAACUACUCCAAGGGCCCCUUCGCUGCACCGCGAAGCCCUCGGCCCGCCGCCGUCACUAUGGCCGCGUCCGCAGGGCGGGCGCACAGGCGGGAGGCGAGGCCUCGGGACAGCGGAGACACACGGCAGCCUGCAGCUGGGCAGCGCGCGGGGCCACGUGGGGGCCCGGGGCCGCCCGCGCACGCUCCGAGGCCGACCGGACCCGCGUCCUUUAGGCGCCAUCUUCGGCUAGGCCCGCACUGGUCGGGCGCCAUCUUCGGCUAGGCCCGCGCAGCUCGGCGCCCAGCCUUUGUUGUCGCGGCUUCCGGGCGUCCAUCAUGCGGCGGCCGCGCGCCAGGCACAUCAAGAAGCGGAGCAUGAAAUGGCGGCGGGGGGCGGAGCGUGCGGUAACCACGCCCACUCUCGCCUCCGGCACCGCGCGCCGACCGCCCCUCGCGCAGGCGCACAGCGCGGCGCGCGUUCCCGCGCUCCCUCCAGCGCGCGCCGAGACACAAAGGGCUGCAGGGAAAGCCCGGAGCGCGGCACCCGCGCGGAGCGGGGCUCGGGCCGGCGGCCUGGCGCGGACUGGGCCGGAGCUGGGCUCGCGGGGGCGGCGCGGGGGGCGGCGCCCAGGCCCUUCCAGACCGCGCUAACCGCCCUAACGGCCUCACUGGCGGGCGAGCGGGGUGGGGCCGGGGGGCCUCCAUUUUCCCUAGCGCGCCAUGAUGUGUGUGUAUAGGGGGGGGGUGGAAGGGUGGCCGCCGGGAUGUCGGGGUCUGCACCCCAAAUUCUGCAGCACCACCACGCACCACGGGGUGGUGAAAGGUUCGGGAAUGUCAGCGCCACAGUUUGUCACUAAAAAGCAACAGCCCCAACCCCACCCCUGGAAAUUAAAUCAAAAGGUUGUUGGCAGCUGUGGCUUCUGAUACCAUGUCCCGUGUUUAUCUGUCUGAAGGAAAAAGAUGGGAAUCCCCGAACCUGGAAUUACUGGACAGAAGCACUGGAUUCACAAACAUGAGGUCCUGAGUUCUAUCCCCAGCAAGGUAUGUGGCAGUGUGAGAAGGAGAGACACCACAGCACGGAUCCAUCACUCAUGAAGGUGGUUCCCCUGCUGGAAGAAGCUCCUGUGUGAUGGCUGGGGGCCAGAACCCAGGUCCUCACUUCUGGAAAGUGUCUCCUCGUGGGUCUGGACCUGACUUUAUGGCUGUUUCCAUCAGAAUCUGAAGGAGGAAGGUGUUGGGGACACACACAGUGACUCUGCUUUUGUUCCUCGGCCAAGAGUGGAUCCUGAAAGUCUUGAGAGGACUCAGCAGGGAGCAGGGGACAGCACAGCCAUGGCUGUUUUUCUAAGUGCUCUGCCUUUUAUUCCAGAAUCUUCCAAACAGUCCCAUGGAGGAGGAGUACAGUGCUAAAUUCUACUAAAACUAGAAUUUAGAACUGGGGAAGUGGUUUCCUUGCCUGAGUGAGGCUCUGAGUUUGGUCCCCUGCAAGUAUGAGAGCCAGCAAAGAGCGUGAGUAGAUAAAACUCCAUGGAUGAAGUCCACAGUCUGACCCACUGAACAAGCCUGACCCCAGAGGAGCUCCAUG